UUCUUUUCGUGUCAUUUCUAGAAAGUAUGUCGGCAAAUAUUGAUCAAUUAAAUCUUAAACUUGCUCCUUUGAAAUCCAAAUUGGAGAAACAAUUCACUUUUAAUGUUUUAAUUUUGAUUUUGUAUUUUUUAUAUGCUACAUAAGUGGCCUAAAGAAUUCCAUUCAGUCAUCUGCGGAAGAAUUUAUGAGAACAACAACCGUUUUAAUUGUGAUCACAGACCUGAAGUUGCUGUAGCAAUAUAAAGUGAGUAACAGAUAAAUGGUAAUAGGGCAAAUAUUUCUUCUUCUUCCUUCUAUUUCCUUACAGCUGACCAAGAAUACCUCCUUGAAAUCAGACAACAGCCCAUUCUUUAUGAAAUUUCAACAAAGAAGAAUGUGAAAGGACUUAAUGACGUAUUAAUUAGGCAAGCCCAGAAAUUACGUGUUCAUACAACUGAGAGUAUGGUUUAACUAGCCUGUUUUUCUUCAACACCUUUUCAGGUCAACGAUACUUUUGGUAAUGGUUCGUUAUGCUUUUUUGCUUCCCCCCCUCCCCUACAUAUUCAUAAUUUUUUAAUCCCUUAUCCGUACUUCUUUUGUAGAAUAUUGCAAAGCAAAAAUAGAGUUUUUCAGACCCUUACUCUAACUAAAUUUUCAUUUUCUUUGUUUUAGGAACAGUCUCAAGGCCAAUUCACUGUUUUUUCUGAUAUUGACUGGAGAUUCUGAAGGCCAAGACUGUUUCCCUCUUUCCAGUAACAUAUUUAAAUUGAUUUGAAAAUGCCUCUAAAAGGUAGGAAAACUUUCAAUUCGAACAAACGAUCAUUCGCCUCAAAAAAUAAUAAAAAACGAAAAGUAAACCCGAUUCUAUUUUCUAUGAUUUAAUAUAAUAAUUAAUUGUUGAAGUAUUGUCGUCCAGUAUUGAACAUCCAAUAUUUAACCUGCAUCCAGAAUUGUCGUCAAAUACGCAAGCUCCUAUAUUAUACCUUCAUUAUAAAGAGAUACCAUCUUCCCAACAGCUAGUGAACUUUGAAAAAGACCCAACAGUUGCUUUAUUAGCUUUGGCUGUAAAUUCUGGACAAAACAGAUUUUCCGCGUCAGUUAAGCUUUAUGGGUCUACUCCGGAAGGAGAAAGAAAUUUACCUAUAGAACUAAAACGUGAAGUUAAAGGGAAUUUUGACAUUCGUGAUAGCGGUAGAAUCGUCGAUGAAUUUCAGCAGCUUUUUUACAAAGACUCCCUUCUUUUGGGUUGUGCUUGCUGCGGAAUUAUAGCUUUCCAAAUGAACAAAGUGCUCUACCUUCCAGUUCCUGUUGCUGAAUUAGAUUUGCUUAAAUUAAACUAAGAACGUCAAUUGUUUUUU